rnacentral:rRNA from 1 species
UACGUAGGGUGCGAGCGUUAAUCGGAAUUACUGGGCGUAAAGCGUGCGCAGGCGGUGAUGUAAGACAGAUGUGAAAUCCCCGGGCUCAACCUGGGAACUGCAUUUGUGACUGCAUCGCUGGAGUGUGGCAGAGGGGGAUGGAAUUCCGCGUGUAGCAGUGAAAUGCGUAGAUAUGCGGAGGAACACCGAUGGCGAAGGCAAUCCCCUGGGCCUGCACUGACGCUCAUGCACGAAAGCGUGGGGAGCAAACAGG